CAUUGUUAAGGGACUGCUAGUAAGAGAGAUCCUGGCUGUUAGGCCCUUGUCCCUCCCUGCCAUAUCAUAAUCAUCAUAACUGUCCUUAACUGUUUUUUUUUUUUCCUUCUUUAGACUUGGAAAUGUCAUUUUCUCUUGGAAGUUCUCAAAUAAUAUAACUAGAUACUGAAAAGGCAUUUCAAGUCAUUCACAAAACAAUCUGACAUGAUUAAGCUCUCAGAAUUGGAUCACAUUGCCCAGCUGUAUACUUUGCUGAGUGAGCUACACAGUGCAAUAGCUCCAGCUUUUUGGUCUUUUCUGCAUCACACAGCAUAUUUCAGAAAUUUAAUUUUGAUGCUUAUUGGAGCUUCCGAUCCUAUUCUGAAGGUUCAUGCCAUUAGCAGAAAAACAGACAAGAAAAAAAAAAAAAAGAGUUAAAUUCCAAGCACAGGUGGAUGAUGAAAAUUUAAGCUCUCCAAGUUGCCAGUGGGAAACUGUAAGAACAUUUCUGUGUGAGCACAGAGAAGGGUCUCAGUACAGACUCCUAUACUGGAACGUCUUGCAAGCGUGGUGGAGCUGUCUUAUCUGUCACACACCUGAGAUUGAAGGUCUUUUUGUGCUGGCUGUGCAAGACUCUUUGGAGUG